UCCUCUCCUAAUCUAGCUUUCCUCUCUGCAAAUUUUUGGGGUUUGCAGAUAUGCCAGUUUUAAUGGAUUUCAUUGGGUCCUUCUCCUUCUUCUCCUUCUUCUUUGGUUAAAAUCAAGAACCAGUUGUGUUUUAGCAGCAAUUUUUGUAGCCACUUAAAUAAAGCUUCAAUCUUUAUGGUUAAAGCUUCAGAAACAGAAGCAACUCAGUCAGAAAAAGAAGAAGAAGACAAAUAUGAAGAAUAUGAAGUUGAG
rnacentral:misc_RNA from 1 species